rnacentral:rRNA from 1 species
AGUGAACGCUGGCGGUAGGCCUAACACAUGCAAGUCGAACGGCAGCACAGUAAGAUCUUGCUCUUACGGGUGGCGAGUGGCGGACGGGUGAGGAAUACAUCGGAAUCUACUUUUUCGUGGGUGAUAACGUAGGGAAACUGACGCUAAUACCGCAUACGACCUACGGGUGAAAGCAGUGGAGCUUCGGACCUUGCGCGAUUGAAUGAGCCGAUGUCGGAUUAGCUAGUUGGCGGGGUAAAGGCCCACCAAGGCGACGAUCCGUAGCUGGUCUGAGAGGAUGAUCAGCCACACUGGAACUGAGACACGGUCCAGACUCCUACGGGAGGCAGCAGUGGGGAAUAUUGGACAAUGGGCGCAAGCCUGAUCCAGCCAUACCGCGUGGGUGAAGAAGGCCUUCGGGUUGUAAAGCCCUUUUGUUGGGAAAGAAAAGCAGCAGGUUAAUACCCCGCUGUUCUGACGGUACCCAAAGAAUAAGCACCGGCUAACUUCGUG